rnacentral:tRNA from 1 species
UGCCCAGAUGGUGAAACUGGUAGACACGCCUGACUUAGGAUCAGGUGCCGCAAGGUAUGUAGGUUCGAGUCCUAUUCUGGGCAU